rnacentral:rRNA from 1 species
GUAGGUGGCAAGCGUUGUCCGGAAUUAUUGGGCGUAAAGCGCGCGCAGGCGGUCCUUUAAGUCUGAUGUGAAAGCCCACGGCUCAACCGUGGAGGGUCAUUGGGAACUGGGGGACUUGAGUACAGAAGAGGAAAGCGGAAUUCCAAGUGUAGCGGUGAAAUGCGUAGAGAUUUGGAGGAACACCAGUGGCGAAGGCGGCUUUCUGGUCUGUAACUGACGCUGAGGCGCGAAAGCGUGGGGAGCAAACAGGGAUUAGAUACCCUGGUAGUCCACGCCGUAAACGAUGAGUGCUAAGUGUUAGGGGGUUUCCCGCCCCUUAGUGCUGCAGCUAACGCAUUAAGCACUCCGCCUGGGGAGUACGGCCGCAAGGCUG